rnacentral:piRNA from 1 species
UCCCAGGGUUAUUUUUAAAAGUCUACACUU